AUCCCUUGACAUCCAGUGAAUUAUCUAGAGAUAGAUAAGUGCCUUCGGGAACACUGAGACAGGUGCUGCAUGGCUGUCGUCAGCUCGUGUUGUGAGAUGUUGGGUUAAGUCCCGCAACGAGCGCAACCCUUAUCCUUAGUUGCCAGCACGUAAUGGUGGGAACUCUGGGGAGACUGCCGGUGAUAAACCGGAGGAAGGUGGGGACGACGUCAAGUCAUCAUGGCCCUUACGGGAUGGGCUACACACGUGCUACAAUGGCGCGUACAAUGGGAAGCAAGCUAGCGAUAGUAAGCGGAUCUCAAAAAGCGCGUCGUAGUCCGGAUCGGAGUCUGCAACUCGACUCCGUGAAGUCGGAAUCGCUAGUAAUCGUGGAUCAGAAUGCCACGGUGAAUACGUUCCCGGGCCU
rnacentral:rRNA from 1 species